GUGUUGGAGGUCUCUCCCCUGGAGAAGCUCUUCCUUCUCUCCAGUGUCGUGACACUCGAUGCUCUGGGCUUGUGGAAAAAGCAUCUGAGCACACAAAGGAUGGACUGCAGAUAGUUUGAGUGAGAAGUCUCAAUACCGUCAGUCCGGACCUUCAGGGAAACACUGACCUGAAGCCACCACGUCCACACAGAGCACCAACAGAGACUGACCACUAGGUGGCGCCAGAACACCAGCUAUGCAGCUCCAGAGCGUUACCAUGAAGACAGGAGCACGUGUGAACUGUGAGAGUUGGAACCAUGUUAAAGCAGCUGGAGAUGUGAGGUCAAAGGACAGGGAUGUGUGUGUGUGCAGAUCGUAAAGCCCUCUGAGGGGAGGUUGUACCUUGUGAUAUUGGGCUGUAUUAAAUAAACUGAGUUGAAUUGG